rnacentral:lncRNA from 1 species
GCAGUGAUUCUUUUCAAUUAUCAACUUCUGAAUGCUUCAGAUUAAAACAUCAAGACAUAAACACAAUAGAAAAAUAAGGAUGAUAUGGCGAUGAUGCUGUGGACAAACAGCCCACCAGAAUUCUGGUCAACCAGAAGUUGACCAGUUCGUCCAAAACCGGACAAUCAGUCCAGUUCGAUGGUCCGACCGCCAGUUCAAAGCCAGUCCGACCUUGAAUGGUCCAAUUCGCAAGACCGAACCAAAGAGAUCGCCGAUCGAUGGUCAGACCAAUUAGACCGGCCAGUCCAAUCUGAUUUUCAAAACAAUACAAAAAACAACUCCCUCCUCGACUUACUUAGAGUUCAGUCAAUCCAUAAAGUUUAUCAUAGACAAUGAACAAGCUCUAUGCACACUCUAACCUUCUACAAAAAAUUAAAUAUAAAAGAUUAUCAAAUUGCCUGAUUCAAUUUUUCGUUGUUAUAUCAAAUGCUCUCCCAUUACUCUCCUUCCACAUGGCCCAUAUAAGUAUAAAGAAGUAGCUCUCUAGGCUUUCUUCCUCUUCUUCCCAACAAAGGAUCCAUGUCAUCUCAAAAGGGGAUCUUCACUAAGGAGUGCAUCACCUACUCUAUUUCAAAUAUAACAUAAAUUAGCUACCACAACAUGACUACUUUCAAGUGGUGUAAGGAUAUAUAUAUAUAAAUAAUUCCAGCAUAUCAAAAAAUUUGCGUUUAUGUGUGUUGUAAUUAUAAGAAAUAUCUUGGUUAUUAUUUACUUGUAAUGGUGAUCCAUAAAUAUAUGAAUCAUUCUUAUCUUCAUAAUUAAUAUAUUUAUAUGAUAAAAGGUCAUAUCUAUAGUGUUUUUUAAAAUUUUCUUUUUGAUUCGUUAAUGAGUCUACUUCAUAAUCAUUUUGUUUGUUGUAAUGAAUUAAUUGAUCUUUUUAAGAUAAAUCCCAUUUGCUUAAAUCUUUAUUUUGAUUUUGAGCCACACUUACUCUAUUUCGCCACUUUUGUGGUACUAAUCUAGACCAUAUUAUCGGAGAUAAAUAUUUAUAUUGAUAAUGACCUCUUAACCAGUUUUUCCAUUGAUUCAUUCCAGAAUUACAAAGUUUCUUAUGUCUUAAUUUGUAAUGAAAUAUUUCGUGUGCUCCAAAACCCAAAUAAUCUUUUCUUUCGUUCUUAAGAAAAAGAGAUGUUCCAUUAUAUUGAAGGACAGAUCUUAACUUAUACAAGUUAAUAACUUGGGUUUGUGAUAAUUUGUAAAAUACAUAUGCUUGUGACAAGGAGGAUAAGUCACAAAAAAUUUGUGAACUCUUAUUACUAAUAUUAGAAAAUGUCCCCUAUAUCCCCACAAAUCGACCAUGCUUGCAAUUUCCUAAAAAAGGUCUCCACUUCUCCCAUUACUCCCCUCCCAAAUGGUCCAAAAAAUAUGAAUCUAUUUUGUGAACCUAAAGUUCCCAACAAUCCCCCUCCCCUCCCUACUCCCACACCUGGCUACUCGCAUCUUUGGUGGUGGUUAUUGAGAACAAUGUAGAAAAAACCACUCCCAAGGCUAAGUCAUCGCACCACCUAUUCUUCCAAAAUUUCACCUUUUGUCCAUCUACUACCCUAAAACUAGCUCUACUAUUGAAGGCCUCCCACCUCUUUUGAUUGCCUUCCACACACUCACAUUACCGAAUCUUCAACACUAUUUGCAAAAAAAGCGCUGUUAAAAAUUGACAAACUUCUAAUACCCAAGCCACCCUCCUCAUAUCCAUGCAAAUUGUCAACUAAUUCACCAAAUGUCAUUUUCUCUAAAGAGCUCCUCCCCUUGAAUCAAAAUUCCUUUGGAUCCUUUCCAACCUUAAAACUACUUUUAUCGAUAUGACAAAUAAAGACAUAAGGUAAAUUGGUAAGCUAGAUAAAGUGUAUUUUUAUAAGGGUUAACAUUCCCCCUUUUGAUAGGUAUCUUAUCUUCCACAUAGUGAGAUGAUUCUAAAAUCUUUCUUCCACCACAUUCCAAACCCAGAUUGAUCUAAAAAGUACUCUCAGUGAAAGACCUAAAUAAAGUAAGGAGGAUACCCACUUUACAACCUAGAACCUUAGCUAAGGUAUGUACAUUAGCAACCUCCCUAGCUAGGAUAAACUUGAUUUUCUCUAGAUUGAUUUUUAACUCUAAGGCUAAAAUUGCCUUAAACCACAUGAAUACCAAGCUCAAAUACUUCAUAUGCUUCUUAUUAGCAUUAUAGAGAAUAAAAGUAUCAUUGGCAAAUAAUAGGUGGGACACCUCCAUUCCCUUUCCUCUACCAUUAACUAAAGACACUAUGAUGAAGCCCCCUUCCUUUGCCUAAUUCAAAAUAAAGGAGAACCCUUGACAUGAUCAUACCCCUUCUCAAUCUCUAGCUUAUAUAUGACCUAACUAUCGGUGCUUGGAAUUGAAUCCCAUUCUUUUCCAAGACCACCAGUAAGAUGCCUCAGUUGACAUGAUCAUACACCUUCUCAAUAUCCAACUUAUAUAUGACCCCAGUGUUGGUGCUUUUCAACCUUGAGUUAAUGGCUUAUUUACUAUGCAAACAGUAUCAAAAAUUUGUUUGCCUCCACAGACACAUGCAGCAAAACCACUUUUCCAUUACUUUAUAUAGUUUCCCACCAAAUUGAUGGGUUUAAAAUCUCUUAAAUCUUUUGCACCCCCUUUUUUGGAACUAACAUUAUAAACAUGGCAUUUAAGCUUCUUUUGAAAGAGCCUAACUCAUAUAACUUUGCAAAAAAACUUUAUUACCUCACUUUCCAUAAAGUCUCAACAAAAUUACCAAAAGGCCAUGGAGAAGCAUUAGCCCAAGGGGUUUAUCCCCACACAAACUAGAGGACUGAAAAAACCUCAAAAAAUGGUAUCUCUAGGGAACUUGAAUCCUCUCUACGCAAAGUUUCAUACGUAAUUCCAUUGAUGUUCGGUCUCUACUCCCCCAACUGAAAAAGAAGGCUAUGGAAAGCAUUUGUCACCCCCUCCUUUAUGUCUAUAUCUUGAGAUAACAUUAGUUUCUUCUUCUACAAGCAUUGGACAUUUUAUGAAAUAAAUUUACAUGUUUAUCACCUUCUUUAAGCCAUAAUUAUCUUUAUUUUUGCCUACACAAGACUUCUUCCAUUGUCGCCCACUUUCUAAAAGAGAGGCUUCCCUUUCCUUAGCAUCCUAGAACCCAAUUCGAUUGAGAGUUGCAACUUUAUUUAGUACUGACAUUCUUAAAGCCACAUCAAUGCAUAAGGGUGAUUCAGGUUUUUUACUCAUUUCACACCUUAUCAAGGUGAUACAACUCAUCCAAGUCAUACUGAUCUCAACAAAGUCAUAUCUGACUCGGCCGCUACUUUGAACACUACCUCCAAGGUACAACAAUCAACUGCCAACAACGAUGCACUUCAAUAACUACAGCAACACAACUCUUCCAAAGUGUUUCUACAAAUAGAAGUCACACAAAGUGAUCAAUAAAGAGUGACACAUUGCUAUCUAAGGUCUUCAUUACUGCAAUAUGGGGGCUCUCUUUUGUCCCCCUCUCAAAUCAAAUUGGCAUACUCUAAAUGGAAAAAAAAAAAAAAAAGAUGAUUUGUAGGGGUAGAAAUUAGUAACUAAGAACUCUUCUCAAAUUAAUCCAACAGGAAAAAUAAUAAUAAAAGAAACCCAAAAUAGGUUUAAAAAAAUGGAACAAAAAGUCGGACCAAUUUGGGUGCACCAAAGUGGCUUGAAUCCAAGGAGGUUCCCCCCUAGGUGUUUGAUGGAUGCAAACGUGUCCUGUUAGAUGGUUUACAACCUAGGCCUCCCUAAAAUCUCACUAGAUGGGCUUCAACAUGGCGCAUGUGUGGACCUCCAAUUUCUCUCAAUAACAAACCCAUAAGGCAUAAAAAGUGAGUUUCAAUAUAAACCACCUUUUGGUUCCCAUCUUUUCCCACGUGGAACAAGGGAGCUUCAAGCAAUCUUCCUAUAUAUUAUUAGUUGCAAAGAGCACUUUUCAAGUUCCAAAUGGAUUCCAAUAUAUUGACAAUUUUUUCUUGGUGAGGGACAGUUUCUUCCUUCUUUUUGGGUUCUUUUGAACAUUAUGAUUGACAGACUAGAAUAACAAAUGUCAAGAUUGUUCAUCAUCUCAUUCAAUCAAGUUCAAUACCAUUCAAGAAGGUCCCUUACUGUCAAGGCAAUGUGCAGAAACAAAUACCAUUAGAACAUACAAGUGUUAUGCCAUAAAGCUGUUCCAGAGAGCUUCUUGUUGUUUAUGAAUCAAAUAGUCUAUUUAGAAACAAAAAAUAUAAAAGAAAUCAUAUAAUGCUGACAUAAGAAGACUUGCAUGGUUGGGAAAUAUUUUCAUCUCCCCUGUGAACAUGAAAAAUUUGUCAUCUUUGAAAACACAUCACAAUGCUUCUUUUGUCUCACCACUCCUAACAAUCUGAAAUUAGUUUACGCCUUCUGCCCAGAGAAUAUAUCUCUAUACAUAAACCUUAUAAUUUGUUGAAUAUAAUGUAUGUAUAGUAUACUAUCUUUCCUUAUUAAUAUAGGUCAUAUGUAUGGUAGUUAGGACUCCUAGCCUUGUAUAUAUAUAUAUCUCUCAAUUGUAAGUAAAAAUAUAUGAAUGAAAAUAAGGUUUUUCUCCUUUCUCUCUCUCUUUCAACAUGGUAUCAGAGCCAAGGAAGAAAACCUAAUUCUUUCCUGUUUUUCCGUGUCAUCAACUCCGGGAAACCUUCCGGUGACCGUGUUUCUUUCCGGUCACCGUGUUUCUUUCCGGUCACCUUUCCCAUCUCCCAAUACUUUCCGGUCAGUCGGAUCGUCGCUAGAAACCACUCACCGCCGGCGAAAUUUUCCGGCGAACUUUCCGGCGACCUAUUUUUCCGACACCGACCAUACCAGAAGGAGCGCCUGGAGGAGAUCUCCACCUUUUGUGAAGACACCAGCACCAAAAGAGGAGCCACGCGCCGUCCACGCGCGAUUUUCGGUCGGCGGCUGCAUCUCACGCGCCGGCGCGUGGGGGCGCGUGAGGCAUAUUCCGGCCACUUCCGACACCUCUCCAGGCUCGUCCGGCGCCGUCUUGGCCUUCUAGCCCCCCGGCAGUCCUCCCCGAGCCCUGCAUCUCCAUUUUUUUCCCUGUUUUUGGCUUUCUUGCCAUUCCGGCCACCUCCGACAGGGCUCCCCCUCCAUCUCCGAGGCUUGGGUGCUGCUUCUCUUCCUCUCCAGGCACGUCACGAACCUUUUCUCCAUUGAUUGCACCUCUCACAGCCGUGGUUUCACUUUUUUUCUCUCUCCGCCGAAAUCUGAACCCAUCUUAGGGCUCUCUUCGAUCCAAAUACGUGAAUAUGACCACCAAAAAUCAGAUCUUUACCUCUGUUAUCUCUGGAUCUCCUAUGAUUACCUCAGAGAAAUUGGUUGGCAGUGAGAAUUAUCUCUCCUGGUCUGCUUCUGUUGAACUUUGGUUUAUGGGUCAAGGAUAUGAGGAUCACUUGGUUACCCAGGAGGCAGAUAUCCCUGAGGUUGACCGCGUACAGUGGCGGAAGAUAGAUGCACAGUUAUGUAGUGUAUUAUGGCAAUCGGUUGAUCCCCGGAUUCUUCUUCAUCUUCAGGCCUAUAAAACUUGUUUUAAGUUUUGGACUCAGGCCAAAGGAUUAUACACGAAUGAUAUCCAGCGUCUUUAUAAGGUGGCUUCUGCUAUUGUCCAUCUCAGCCAACAGGACUUGGACCUAUCUACUUAUAUUGGUCAGAUUGCCUCUCUUAAGGAGCAGUUCCUGACUGUGAUGCCUCUUACUCCUGAUGUUGGGGCUCAACAAACACAACUUGACAAGUUCUUCAUGGUUCUUACUCUUAUUGGCCUCCGUCCGGAUCUUGAGCCUAUUCGUGAUCAGAUUCUUGGCAGUUCAUCAGUUCCGUCCUUGGAUGAUGUGUUUGCUCGCCUCCUGCGUAUCUCGUCCACUCAGACUUUGACAUCUGAUAGCGCUUCAGAUUCUUCUGUGUUAGUUUCUCAAACUACCUCUCGAGGAGGACGCAGUGGUACCCGAGGUAGAGGCCAACGUCCUCAAUGCACCUAUUGCAAUAAACUUGGCCACACUCGCGAUCGUUGCUAUCAGUUACAUGGAAGACCUCCUCGCACUGCCCAUAUGGCCCAGUCCUCUGAUUCUCUGUUGCCUCAGCCUCCGAGCUCCUCCGCAUCUCAGACAUCUCAGGCUUCUAUUGCCUCUGUUGCCCAGCCUGGUAAUGCCUCUGCCUGCCUUACCCACACAUCUUCUCUUGGACCCUGGAUUCUAGAUUCUGGAGCAUCUGAUCACCUAUCUGGUAAUAAGGAUCUUUUCUCCUCUAUUACUACUACCUCUGAUUUACCUACUGUUACCUUAGCUAAUGGUUCUCAAACUGUGGCUAAAGGUAUUGGUUUGGCCCUUCCUCUGCCUUCUCUACCUCUCACUUCUGUCCUUUAUACUCCUGAAUGUCCUUUUAAUCUUAUUUCCAUCAGCAAAAUCACUCGUACUCUUAAUUGCUCUAUUACAUUUUCUGAUAAAUUUGUGACCUUGCAGGACCGGAGUACGGGGAAGACGAUUGGCAUAGGACGUGAGUCUCAAGGCCUCUAUCACCUCACCUCAGAUUCAUCUCCUGCAGUUUGCAUUUCCACUGAUGCUCCUCUCCUCAUUCACAAUCGUCUGGGCCACCCUAGUCUCUCCAAGUUCCAGAAGAUGGUUCCUCGUUUUUCCACUUUGUCGUCGCUUCCGUGUGAGUCAUGUCAGCUUGGGAAACAUACUCGUGUCUCGUUCCCAAAGCGUUUGAAUAAUCGGGCAAAGUCUCCUUUUGAGCUUGUUCACACUGAUGUUUGGGGUCCUUGUCGGACUGCGUCUACUUUAGGAUUUCAGUAUUUUGUCACUUUCAUUGAUGACUAUUCUCGAUGUACUUGGUUAUUUUUAAUGAAAAAUCGAGCUGAGUUAUUCUCAAUUUUCCAGAAAUUUUAUACUGAAAUCCAAACCCAGUUCAAUAUUUCUAUUCGUGUGUUACGCAGUGACAAUGCCAGGGAAUAUUUUUCAGCCCAAUUUACUUCGUUUAUGUCUCAUCAUGGGAUUCUUCAUCAGUCUUCUUGUGCUCAUACUCCUCAACAAAAUGGGGUAGCUGAACGCAAGAAUCGACAUCUUGUUGAGACAGCUCGUACUCUCCUCCUCCAUAGUCACGUUCCUUUUCGCUUUUGGGGGGACGCUGUUCUUACCGCUUGUUAUUUGAUUAAUCGUAUGCCCUCCUCUGUCUUACAUGAUCAGAUUCCUCACUCCCUUCUUUUCCCUGACCAACCACUUUAUUUCCUUCCUCCUCGUGUCUUUGGUUGUACUUGCUUUGUUCAUAUUCUCACUCCUGGACAGGACAAGCUUUCCGCCAAAGCCAUGAAGUGCCUCUUCUUGGGAUAUUCCAGACUUCAGAAGGGUUAUCGUUGUUAUUCCCUUGAGACUCAUCGGUACUUUAUCUCCGCUGAUGUCACCUUUUUUGAGGACUCACCCUUCUUUUCCACCACUUCUGAGUCUCUUCCUGUUUCUGAAGUCUUGCCCAUUCCCAUUGUCUCCCCACCUGAAGCUAUGCCCCCUCGACCACUUCAGGUUUAUCAUCGUCGUCCUCGUGUCGUUGCUCCUCUCCCUUUUCCUGAGGCACCUGCUGACUCACUUCCUAUCCCUUCGGCUUCACCUGCCCCGGCUCUGCCUUCUCCUAAUGACUUACCCAUUGCUGUUCGGAAAGGUACUCGCUCUACUCGUAAUCCUCAUCCUAUUUACAAUUUUUUGAGUUAUCAUCGAUUAUCUUCACCCUAUUCUGCUUUUGUUUCUGCUAUAUCCUCUGUUUCUCUUCCCAAGAGCACCCAUGAAGCUCUUUCCCAUCCAGGCUGGCGACAGGCAAUGGUGGAUGAAAUGGCUGCUCUGCACUCUAAUGGCACUUGGGAUCUUGUUGUUUUACCCCCUGGUAAAUCUACAGUUGGUUGUCGUUGGGUCUAUGCAGUUAAGGUUGGUCCUGAUGGUCAGGUUGAUCGCCUUAAGGCCCGCUUAGUUGCUAAAGGCUAUACUCAAGUUUAUGGUUCUGAUUAUGGUGACACAUUCUCCCCUGUUGCCAAGAUUGCUUCUGUCCGCUUGCUUCUCUCCAUGGCUGCUAUGUGUUCUUGGCCUCUUUAUCAGUUGGAUAUUAAAAAUGCCUUCCUUCAUGGUGAUCUUGCCGAGGAAGUUUAUAUGGAGCAACCUCCUGGUUUUGUUGCUCAGGGGGAGUCUGGUUUAGUGUGCAGGUUACGCCGUUCUCUAUAUGGCUUGAAACAAUCUCCUCGAGCAUGGUUUAGCCGUUUUAGUUCUGUUGUUCAAGAGUUUGGCAUGCUUCGCAGUACAGCAGACCAUUCAGUUUUUUAUCAUCAUAACUCCUUGGGGCAGUGUAUUUAUCUGGUUGUUUAUGUGGACGACAUCGUCAUUACAGGCAGUGAUCAGGAUGGUAUACAGAAACUAAAGCAACAUCUUUUUACCCACUUUCAGACCAAAGACUUGGGGAAACUCAAGUAUUUCUUGGGAAUUGAGAUAGCUCAAUCUAGUUCUGGUGUGGUCCUUUCCCAAAGGAAGUAUGCUUUAGACAUCCUGGAAGAAACCGGUAUGUUAGACUGUAAACCGGUAGACACACCUAUGGAUCUGAAUGUCAAACUUGUACCAGGACAGGGGGAGCCUUUAGGAGACCCCGGGAGAUAUCGACGACUCGUAGGUAAAUUGAACUAUCUCACCAUUACUCGUCCAGACAUUUCUUUUCCUGUGAGUGUUGUUAGUCAAUUCCUACAGUCACCAUGUGAUAGCCAUUGGGAUGCCGUAAUCCGUAUUCUUCGAUAUAUCAAAAGUACACCAGGCCAAGGUGUAUUGUACGAGAACAGAGGUCAUACUCAAGUUGUUGGUUACACAGAUGCAGAUUGGGCUGGCUCACCCACAGAUAGACGUUCCACUUCAGGGUACUGUGUUUUUAUUGGAGGUAAUCUAAUAUCUUGGAAGAGUAAGAAACAAGAUGUAGUGGCCAGAUCUAGCGCUGAAGCCGAGUAUCGAGCUAUGGCUUUGGCAACAUGUGAACUCAUAUGGUUGAGACAUCUUCUUCAGGAGUUGCGAUUUGGAAAGGAUGAACAGAUGAAACUCAUCUGUGAUAACCAGGCCGCAUUACAUAUUGCAUCCAAUCCAGUCUUUCAUGAAAGGACCAAGCAUAUUGAAGUUGACUGUCAUUUCAUUAGAGAGAAGAUCGCAUCAGGAUGUGUUGCUACAAGUUUUGUCAAUUCAAAUGAUCAACUAGCAGACAUCUUCACUAAAUCUCUCAGAGGUCCUAGGAUUAAAUAUAUUUGUAACAAGCUUGGUGCAUAUGACGUAUAUGCUCCAGCUUGAGGGGGAGUGUUGAAUAUAAUGUAUGUAUAGUAUACUAUCUUUCCUUAUUAAUAUAGGUCAUAUGUAUGGUAGUUAGGACUCCUAGCCUUGUAUAUAUAUAUAUCUCUCAAUUGUAAGUAAAAAUAUAUGAAUGAAAAUAAGGUUUUUCUCCUUUCUCUCUCUCUUUCAACAUAAUUAUUAGACUACCAAUUUCCCCAACAGCCCAAAUUUAUUAAGGAGUUCGUGAGCUGUAAACUCAUUGGUUUUUGUUAGUGAGGCUCAUAAUUCAUGAGUUUUACGCUUAUCUGGUCAAGCCAAGGCAAGUUCCAGUGCCUCUUCAUAAACAAGAUUACAAAAAAUAUCCAAGCCAAAAUGAUAAAGGAUGAAGAAACUUCCUGUUUGGAAAUAAAAUAAUAAUUGAUUGGUUGGGUUCUUACUGAGGGAGGGAGUCAUCUUUUGUUCUCCUUGUCCUUUUUUGGUGCCUUUUGGCAACCGUUGCAUAUAUCCUAUGUACCUUGGUGUGCCGAUUUGGUGCUUUAUUAAUAUUAUUUGCAUUUACCUAUUCAAAAAUAUUAAUAAUAAUAAACAAUAAUAAUAAUAUACCU